rnacentral:lncRNA from 1 species
AAUUAUAAUAAGUCAUUUAAUAAGCUAAAAUCCCAAAAUAUAAGUUAAAGUAGACAAUGCAGAAAUAAAACAUAACCCGACAUCGGGGUGUCACUAGUCAUGAGCAACUAUAACUCGUCUAGGAAUAUGAAAAGACAACAUAGUCUGAAACAAAGCUAAAACAAAGUUGAAUAAGAUAGGAAGGAGAAAUACUGGGAUGCGAACGCCAAGCAGCUACCUAGUCAACUCUGAAAGCCUGUUGGAAGACAAAUCGACACUCGUUAGUGUGUCCCGAGACUUCUGGAUCUGCACACAGGGUGUAGGGAGUAAUGUGAGUACGCCAACUCAGUAAGUAAUAAAAUUAAAGGCAGUUGAGUAGUAAGAAAAUACGUAAACCACAGCAUAACGCUACAGCAAAAUAGUAUAAGUCCAGAACAAUGCAGUAAAGCAGUAAAACACGUGAAAACAUCUCAGUUCAACAAAACUUUUUUUUUAAAACAUCUUUCAAUAGUUUCAAAUGAGUGGUGAAAACAGUGAGAAAAUGAUAGAAAAGUAAACAGCUCCUCAGGCAAAACAUAUACCACAACCACCCCUCGGGUAAAAUAUCAACAGAACCAGCCUCUCGGGCUACCUCACAAUCACUCGUAUCAGCCCCUCGGGCAAUAACAUGAAAUAGCAAUAGCCCCUCGGGCAAUAUCACAUCUCACACUGGGUACCCGCGCUCAUUGGGGGUGUUCAGACUUCGGAGGGGCUCCUACAGCCCAAGCGCUAUAACAAGCCAUCUCGCGACAUAAUCAAACCGGCCCUCGUCCUCAUAAUAAGCCACCUCGUAGCAUAACAAAUCAGGACCUCGGCCUCAAAAUCAUGAAUCAGUACAACUUGUUGUGGCGUAUAACCCGAUCCCAUAAUAUCCUCACAACACAGGACCUCGGCCUCACUCAGUCAGAAAUCCCUCAAGCCACUCGGGCAAUAGUAAAACAUGAUGCUCAGCCCAAAAUAUCAUUUAAAAUGUCAAAACGGAGAAAAUAUGACUGUGUUAUGAAAACAGUAGAAUACAGCAUGACCGAGUACAAAUAUAAAGUCAAAACAGUGAGGAAUAGUAGUAAAAAUCCCCUAAGGGUCCAAAACAAUUGGCACGAGGCCCAAAUAUGUCAUUCAGCUCAAAACAUGAUAAUACUUUCCAAAACACGAUGAUAUCAAACAGUUUUCGAUCAAAUACGUGACUUAACAGUCAUACAGCGGACUAAGUCAUAGUCCCCAAUGGUGCAUGACCCCACACUCAUUAUCUAGCGUGUGCGUUACCUCAAAGUAGCAUAACGAUGUGAAAUCUGGGGUUUCAUACCCUAAGGACAAUAUUUACAAUCAUUACUUACCUCAAUCCGGUCCAAACUCUAGCCCGUGAUGCCUUUGCCUCUUGACU